GAUCCUGGCUCAGGAUGAACGCUAGCUACAGGCUUAACACAUGCAAGUCGAGGGGAAACGACAUCGAAAGCUUGCUUUUGAUGGGCGUCGACCGGCGCACGGGUGAGUAACGCGUAGGCAACCUGCCCUUUGCAGAGGGAUAGCCUCGGGAAACCGGGAUUAAAACCUCAUGAUGCCGUGUGAAGACAUCUUCAUAUGGUCAAAGAUUUAUCGGCAAAGGAUGGGCCUGCGU
rnacentral:rRNA from 1 species